GCACUGUUUUUAGACUAGAAAGUAGCCUACAAUGGUAGUAAUGAAGACAUAGCCUACAUUAUAAUCGAAGGAACCGCAGAUAUUUGAGGACGUAACUAAUCGUCCCAGUGUCAGAUAUCUCAGCGUUACAGGCUGAUCAGAUAAAACAAAGAACAGUGUUUGAAACUCCGCCCUUGGUUUGCGUUGACCGAGUACUUUCAAGAUCCCAAAUCGUUUUUAGGUCCGGGUGGAGGGUCACAGUAGGCGCCCCUACACGUGUUUACGCUCGGAAAGGUCGAUCUGAAAGAAAGGAUCAUAUUCAUUCAAGAAACUGUCUGUAACUCUAACUGAAACUGCACUGGCUUCAGGCGUAAGUUACUAACCUACUGCUGAACGAACUUCAGGAGGAAAUGAAUUAAUGGAGCCGAGAGUACUGCACAAACUGGAAGUUGUAGAGCCGUCACUACUUGCGCAUUAGCCUAACUAUUCAGAUUGCACUGGAGAGUUGAACUUGUAGGUUUAAACAUGACGCUGUAGGCCUAUCUGUCGUUAACGUGACACAUAACGGAAAGCGCUGGGCUGGUAACAGGGCAAGUACUUUGAGACACUUUCAGUGGAGUUUGCGGUGAUUUAACGCACAUCCGUUGAGCAAAAACGUUAUACUCAAUGAGUGUAUUGAGGAGACUUGUUUAAUAUGAACGAAAAACCAGCGUUAGGAGAUAAACUACACGAGGAUCAAACUAAGGCGGACUUGGAGAACCAUGUGAAGUUGGAGGCGGGGGACGCGGAUCUGCCCGCCGAUAAUCAGAGUGAGCUGGACAGUCAUGUAGCGCUGCCACCCACCCAUCUGUACAAACGGCGCUGGAUGAUUGUCCUCCUGUUCAGCUCAUAUUCACUAUGCAACUCCUUCCAAUGGAUACAGUACGGCAUCAUCAACAACAUUUUCAUGAAAUUCUACAACGUGGGCACCUUCACUAUAGACUGGAUGUCUAUGAUCUACAUGCUGACAUACAUUCCCUUCAUCUUCCCGGUGACCUGGCUGCUGGACAAAAAGGGGCUCCGGGUCAUCGCGCUGGUGGCCACAGCGCUCAACUGUGCAGGGACAUGGAUCAAAGUGGCCAGCGUCAGACACAACCUAUUCGCCGUCACCUUUCUGGGACAGUUCUGCUGCUCGUUCGCGCAGGUGUUCAUCCUCGGGAUGCCGUCGAGAAUCGCGUCUGUGUGGUUUGGUUCAGAGGAAGUGUCAACCGCCUGCGCCAUCGGAGUCUUCGGGAAUCAGCUGGGUAUUGCAAUUGGGUUCCUUGUGCCUCCCAUUCUGGUGCCUAAUGUGGAAGACAUGGACGAGCUGGCUCACCACAUCAGUGUCAUGUUCUACAUCACAGCAGGAGUGGCUACCUUACUCUUCGUCCUUGUUGUCUUUGUCUUCCAGGAGCGACCUGAACUGCCUCCGACUCAGGCCCAGGCAACAGCUCGUAGCAUCCCACCAGAGCAGUACUCCUACACUGCCUCCAUCCUCAGACUGCUCCGCAACAGGCCCUUCAUCCUCCUCAUCAUCACUUAUGGUUUGAACGUGGGUUGUUUCUAUGCUGUUGGCACCCUUCUGAACCGCAUGAUCAUCGAGCAUUACCCUGGAGAAGAGGUGAAUGCUGGGAGGAUUGGCCUUACCAUUGUCAUUGCAGGGAUGGUCGGCUCACUGAUCUGUGGCGUUUGGUUGGACAAAACUAAAACCUACAAUUCACCUGUGUAUCAGAGGAAGAGUGCAAGACCUGCGUGCCCGCAGACAACCCUCGCAGUCUACUUCAUGUCUCUGGUGGGGAUGAUAGUCUAUGCUGCUACACUCGAUCUGGGACGCCUCUGGGUGGUCUUCAUCACCGCUGGAGCACUUGGGUUCUUCAUGACAGGCUACCUGCCACUGGGCUUUGAGUUUGCGGUGGAGCUGACCUACCCAGAGUCAGAGGGAACCUCAUCCGGACUACUCAACUGUUCGGCACAGGUGUUUGGCAUUAUAUUCACCAUCUGCCAGGGGAAGAUCAUCGACAGCUUUGGCACACUUGCAGGAAACAUCUUCCUCUGUGUCUUUCUUCUAAUCGGUACAAUAAUGACAGGUUUAAUCAAGUCUGAUCUACGGAGACAAAAUGCAAACCUUCUGGCCAAAGCAACAGCAGCGGAGGCGCAGAAGUCAGGACACGACUACGGAGCCACGGCGCUCAUCUCCCAGCCACAGACUCUUCCUUCUCAAGCCUGAUCAAUGCACCUUUCUGCUUCCACAAAAAUCAAAUCUUACACAAAGAUGCACAAAGGGACCUUCCGACUGCCACAAUGGGAGCCUGGCUGCACCUUCUGUCGUCAAAGAAGCAGUUUUAGACGCACAUGCACUAUCAUAAAAGUUUUGAGCAUAGAAAUUCCCUGCUCAGAAAUAUCUUUUUAUAUUUAAGUGUAAAUUAAAUGCUGUCCCUAAAUCUGCAAGACAAAUGUAUGAAAUGUUUGUUUGUGAGUUGAUCAUUUUACCUAUCAGUAUGUUAAAAGUAUACAGUUGAUUAUGUGCUGUGUGUGUGUGUAUGUGUAUAUAUGUGUGUAUAUAUAUAUACAUAUAUUUGCCAAAAUGGAUAUACACAAAUUUUGUCAUUGCGUAAACCGUUAACCAUGUAAAUCCAGGAUCCACAGUUUUACAAGUGACUUUGGUAGAAAAUCCAUUCAGCAGAUGACAGACAGUUGUGUAAUAUGUGUAACAUUAUUCAUGUUUACUUAUUUAACAUCAAAUAAAACUGUUGUACGAUGUUUCUUUACUUCAUCGGGUGUCACGUUUUACGUUACUGCGGAUGUCAUGGUGAAGCUACCUGACUGAGCCAUAGACGAUUGGACAACCAUAACCCAGUAUACCCAGAUGGCACACCUCCAAAACAAGUCAGGGAAACGGGACCUGCAUGAUCAUACGGUGAAUGUGACAAUGGCAUUUCUCACUGUGUUAUCACGAUACAGAUGCCACUGAUUACAACAUCAGACAUGUAUAAAAAUUAAGGGCACAGGUAAAUGCACACGCAUACAGCAGUUAUCUCUCUUGAGCAAUUGCAGCAUGACAUGUUGACCAGAAGGCACAGGUUUUACAAGAGUAGAAAAAAAUAACCAAGGAAGCAGAUGUGGAUAAUGUUUCAGUCAUUUCAAGUACAAUUUUGAUGUACUUCUGACUGACAACUGUAGUUACCAGUUGGUUUUCAAAUGAAGAUUUUACUUUCUUUUUUAAAACAUAUAAGCUUAUAAAUACAAUACAAACCCUCACAAAAAAGCACCGUGUACUCUGGGCCCCAGAGUCUCUGGUUUCAUUUAAAUAAUUGCCUGAGGCUCAAAGAGGUCAGUGUCACAAAAAUCAAAGAAUAGAGAAAAAUAACUAUAUAUUUAUGUGUAUUGACUUCUCUUGCUCAACUAUAACCAUAAUCUGCUUUUGACUGCAGGACUUUUACUUGUAAUGGCCCAAUUUCUUUUACAUGGUUGGCCACAUGGUGGCAGCAUUGUUACAACAGGGCUGACUCCUCAAAUGAACUGAAGGCCCAGAAGGAUUUGAGUGAGGAGCCCAAGAGGAGAAAACAUAAUUAAAGUACAUUGUUGAUAUAGUUAGUAUUCUGAGUGUCCCAUUAACUGUUUAUACUGUGAUUUAAUCAACUUUGAAAAUCUCUCCUACGGUGUAACCUGAAUAAAGGGGAUAUCUGCUGA